GGUCAUAGCUGUUAAGCUAGAAAACAGAAGGCACCACAAUGACAUCACAUCAAUCGAUGAAUUUGAAGAUUUACAAAAACUUCCUUUGGCCGUUAUUGCUGAUUUAGAAAAAUUGUAUGGCGAGAUACAACACAAUGAAGGCACUCUUAAGCAAUUUAAAGAAUUCAUAGCAAAAACAGGCGGUGACGGACCCGCAAAAUUUCUAAGAACCGCCAUCCGAAAAGUAUUUUGUGACGAAUUGGCUUCUGCUUACAGCUGGAAGGCGACCAGCACUAAGCCAAGCGCCGAAAAGUGCUUUCUAAUAACAACGAUUUAAAAUAUUUGCCAUCUAAAAUACAAAAGCACAGACCAGGAAAUGAACGGUGUGCUUCAAAAGCAUUUUGUGCAUGCUAAAGACAGGAUAGCAAAACGAAAACUAACGAGAUCACUGCAAGAAAAAACGGCGAAGAACUCACGCAAUUGAUAAAAUGGAUUUUUUAAUUUAAGUACUUUUAACUUUUAUACACAUAGGGACAAAAGUAUUGGCACAGAGAACUUU